UACUCUCAAUCACAUCAUUAGGGUAUGGAUAUUAUGUCAAACCCCUAAUGUGAUUAUUCCUUCAUAUAUGAUUCAUUUGAGUCGUAUAGGAACACUUUCCUUUUAAUACGCUCGAUACUUCGGCCGAAGAUUCCCGAAUCAUAUCUUAGAGUAUUCUUCCUCUCUUAUCGAGGAUUAGAGAUUCCUUGUUGCGCAUACACUUGCUUUCAUGACUAAGUGGCUUAACCCCAAUCAUGCCGUGGACACCCUCGAAUGGGGAGACUUUGACAUAAUCAAAGAUUAAGUACUUAACCACAAGACAACGACGAUGCCUCAGGUCUAAGGAUUACUUACAUUAUUCCAACCAUUAGAGUUACUUGCUUGACAUGUGAGUAGACCUCCAUGCAAGUACUCUCGUUCGAUUGUGUUCAGUGAACUCAUUCCCCUAAUGAGCACCUACAUACUUGUCUUAGUGUCACAACACGAAUGGGAUGAGACUUUCCAUCCUUCCAUUUGAAGCAGACAUAGUAUGUACUGGUCUAAGCAUUGUCAGUUUCCCUCCGACAAUCCAAUGACCAGGAACCUUUUGGACAUCUGGUUAUAUGAAGAAGGUCUCUGUAGUCUAACAUCAUUAGAUUACUUCUUCAAUCGAUCCAUUGUCCAUGGAUACACUAUUAAGGACAUAUUUCGUCUAUUGAGAUAGUCCUAAUUCGUGUCUUUGCCUUUGAUGUAUAAGAUUCAUCCAUACAUUCAUUUAUUUGUCCUGAAAGAUUUCUUCCAAAGAUUGACUUUCAGGGCAUAUUUCCAACAAUCUCCCACUUGCACUAAAGUCAAUCACUAGUGUAUCUUAUACAUCUUGUCGAGAGAGUUUAUGCUCGUAGGUUAACUUGGUUAUGUAUUAAUCCCUUUUCAUUUAAAAGGAUUUACUUAUCAAAUGUUUCCAAAACAUUUGAUGAUGUCUCUUUAUUGUGUUCGAAUACUUUGAUGAGACCUUGAUUCCAUGGCUUGAGCUAUCGCCCCAUUACGUCGUAGUACACUACUAACGACCUUAUGGUUUGGAUUCAAUCAUUGAUUCUAAAAGAACCCCUUCCAUUCAAAACACCUUUUGAAGCAGUUUCUAAAACUAUAUAUCUACAUAUAUUUCGUUUGUAUACUUUAUACAAACUUUGCUCCAAGCUUGAGACCAUUGUAGUACAAUACUAACAAUUCAUUUAUAUGAUUAGUACUUCAUCCAUUAUGAAGUUCCAUUUGUUAAAAUGGUUUAUUUUUCACUUUGGUUAACAACCUAAGUGAAUGCACGCUUCCAGAGUCCCACUCUGAUGUUUCUUUCUUAAAGGCAAUAAUACUCUAUCAGUUGCAUUGGUUCUGAUCCUGGGAUAUAGUAAUAUCUAAAGUGACAACCCAUGUGGUUCUUCACCUUUGGAUAUCUACUUCACAAGUCCAUACAUGUGUCCCUUUUGUGAUUUUAUGACACAUUCAUUAUAAGGGUUAUGAAAGUUAUUUCCUAUCACAUAGGAAAAUGCUUUCUUAAAUCUACAACAUUUGAGAUUUAUCUACCAUAUAACAUUAUUGUGAUAGCCUUGCUAUAUCAAUAAGUCCAAUUUCAAGUCUAUACUUCAAAAUUGACCGUGUCAUGUAUUGUCAUUUUUCAAGUAACAUCUAUGUUUUAUUAAGUCUAUCAAAUAGACUUUAUUCACAUCUUGUUGCUCAAAUUAUGACAUCACUCCCACUGGCCUUGUUGUAACUUAGCAUUCAUUCAAAAAUAACAAUUAUAUUUUCUUGAUUUGAAUGCAUAUUGCUCCCACUAACUUAAAUGAAUCAUACACAAAAGAAUUCCUUCUCAAGUAAUUCCAUGAAAUGUGUAUGACUUGCUUUAUCAAGUCAAUCCAUUUAAAUUAUAUGGUGUCAUACACCAUACUUCAAGUUUUAGUCAUACUAAGACCUUUAAUGUAGUCAUAUAAGAAUUAUCCAAGUCUUUAGUGAAGCAUGGCUCCUAGAAACUCAACCAUUCCUUCUAGGUGGUUGAUAUAAUUCUUUAUCAAAACUACAUAGAGCAAUAUCGUUACAUGAGAUGUUGAAUUUGGAUUGUCUUAUUGUUAAACCAUAUGUUGUGACUCAUUUUGAAAUUUAUUCCCUUUUGUUUCAUCAACUUGUCCAUAUGCAUUGUUUAUUAGCUUGUUCUCAUAAAAGAGAAUGAUGGACAACUCCCAACAUAUAACCAUUUUAUGUUAGGUUGACGAAACCAUCAUUCAAAGACUAUUCUUUAAAUGUCUCACAACAUAGAAUUUUAACGUUUGAAGAGCUUGAGUCCUUUUAACAAUUAAAAUUACAAACUCUUAAUAAUAGUCAAGUACUAUUAUUCUUUAGACAACUAUAAACCAAUCCCAUUCAAGUUUAUAUCCAUUUUCACACCUCCCACUAUUUCUCAUGACUUUAAUGAGAAAUCAUUUCAUACAUCCAAAAUGUAUAAAAGUGGAUUAUAUUGGAAGAAGACAUUGUGUAGUAGCUUUAAAACAUUUCAAGCUUAUUUGUUUCAAUCUUCACUAAGUUAAUGUCUUGUUAUUUAAGUGACUAAAGUCUUUAAACAAUUUAUAGAUUUAGACACUUCUUUCUUGGUUUUAGUCACUAACACAAUUGACAUUUUAAAACAAUUUUAAGAAUGCCCAAUUAAUUGUUCAAAACUACUAAUUGAAUCAAGAGUGAUCUUGAUCAUUGUGUUUCAAGUGAUAACCAUAUAAGAAACAAUUUUCUUUCUUAUUACUUAUAUCAUUAUAAUGUGAUCUUCCUUUUCUUCAAGAAAGGAUUCUCUAGACUUUUGUCAAUUCAUAUAGAACUCAUAAGUAGACAAAUGGAACCGAAUCUAAAGAUUCAUUGUAUCCUUUUAUGUCCUACAUGUGAGAUCUAUCCAUAAUUGAUAAAUCUAAAGUUUGGUUAUCACAUUACAAUAAGUGAUAUAACUCUGUAUCUCAUCUAGGAUACAACAAGACAAUUUUCAAUUCAUAACACUACUUUAAGGAAAAAGGCAUAUUUCACAUUACAUUAAUAUGAUAGUUCAAACAUUCAUAAUGUUUAAUACAAAAAGUAUUAGCUCUAUACAUUUAGAGACUAAUAGAAAUAGCUUUAUACAUUUAGACAUUAAUAGUGGUCAUCCAUCAUAUGAAGCCACAUAAUAAGUUCUUAUCAUAAUAAGAAAGUUUUAAAGACAAUCUUUAAUGCCUAACAAAACUUCCUAAGUAGUGAGCAAAAAACAUAGUGGCUGAACCCUUCACCAUAUUUUCUUUGCUUGUUCUUCUUCUACUUGGUUUCUCCACCUAUAUACAAUUAUACAAGUGAUUAGCCCUUUAUAUCAAAUAUAAAUAUUUAGAAGAUCUAACAUUUAGAAUUGAAGAUAAGGACAUA
rnacentral:lncRNA from 1 species